rnacentral:rRNA from 1 species
AUGUUUGAGAAAGGACAAAGCAAAAGAAUUUGGGGUGAAGUUUAUAAAGUUCUUGACUCUUCAGAUGUUGUUGUGCAGGUGUUGGAUGCUAGGGAUCCAAUGGGCAUGAGAUGCUACCAUCUGGAGAAACAUCUGAAGGAGAAUGCCAAGCACAAACACCUGGUAUUCUUACUAAAUAAGUGUGAUCUAAUACCUGCUUGGGCAACAAAAGUGUGGUUGCAUACUCUAUUGAGGGACUAUCCCACCCUAGCAUUCCAUGCAAGCAUCAACAAGUCAUUUGGAAAAGUAAUGAAAAAGCUGGACGCUUUGGCGUUGGGUUCAUUGACCCAAAUACCGUUAAUGAAAAGAUAUGGGAACGUCAUGGAAAAGAAACAGAGGAAAACUUGCUAUAGUUUUUGGUGGAUCAAAAUACUGAACCAGAAAUACUGUUUCCUUACAUCUACGAGUGAGUUUCUUAAAUAUCUAUUGGCUGAUCCUUGGCUGUUUGGCUUCUGUUCUGAAACUAGUUCAUUUCUCGUGAAGUCAUGA